CCCGCUGAACUUAAGCAUAUCAAUAAGCGGAGGAAAAGAAACCAACAGGGAUUGCCUUAGUAACGGCGAGUGAAGCGGCAAUAGCUCAGAUUUGAAAUCUGCCUUAUGGCCGAAUUGUAAUCUGUAGAGGAUGCUUUGGGUGCAGUAACUACAGAGUCUCCUGGAAUGGAGCACCAUAGAGGGUGAGAGUCCCGUUUGUAGUCAACUAAACCUAUGUAAAGCUCUUUCAAUGAGUCGGGUAGUUUGGGAAUGCUGCUCAAAAUGGGAGGUAAAUCCCUUCUAAAGCUAAAUAUUGGCCAGAGACCGAUAGCGCACAAGUAGAGUGAUCGAAAGAUGAAAAGCAUUCCGGAAGGAAGGUUAAAAAGUACGUGAAAUUGCUGAAAGGGAAGCGCUUGUGGCCAGACUUGGAGUUUGAAGUUCACCGGGUGUUUUUCACCUGGGUACUCUUCAGUUCCAGGCUAGCAUCAGUUUUGACAGAGAGAUAAAAGCAUUUGGAAUGUAGCUCUUUCGGGAGUGUUAUAGCCGGUUGUAAUAUCUCUGUUGGGACUGAGGCAUGCGAAAUCAUGGAUGCUGGCAUAAUGGUCAUCAGCGACCCGUCUUGAAACACGG
rnacentral:rRNA from 1 species